AACCUUCCAAUUUGUAAGUCGCUCUGGAUACGAGCGUCUGCUAAAUGACGUAAA
rfam:Salmo salar isolate Sally breed double haploid chromosome ssa10, whole genome shotgun sequence.